rnacentral:misc_RNA from 1 species
AAGUCGUAACAAGGUUUCCGUAGGUGAACCUGCGGAAGGAUCAUUAUCGUAUAUAAACUUGAACAGGCUGUUGCUGGCUCCUCUUGAUUGGGGAGUGUGUGCACGCUUGUCUCGUCUUUAUUAUUUCUCCAACUGUGCACAUUUUGUAGAUCCUGGGUGUUUAUGAAUGUUCUCAUUCGAGUAGGGACUGCUGUUGCCCUUCCUUUGAAAGGCCGGCUUUGCCUUUUGCCUUUGGGGUCUAUGUCGUUUUUCACAACCUCCCAAACGAGUUUAGAAUGUCUAUAUGAAAAAGUGAAAUAUACAACUUUCAGCAACGGAUCUCUUGGCUCUC